GCACUGUUGAGGAGUCCCAAAAUGGGACGAAACGGUCGUCCAGUGC
rnacentral:hammerhead_ribozyme from 1 species